UGCAAGCUUUCUGCUCCAGAGUAGUCCCAUCUACCUAUCUUUGCUUUGCACCUGCAAGAUUCGAGCAUCCCGUAAGAUAGUUUUCUGUUAAUUGGGAGAGAGAAGUCCUUGCUUUCAUAAUCGCAUGGGAAGGACCUUCGAGCUUUUGAUUCAGCAGAGCAAGAUAUGGAAUAUGGUAUUGGAGACGGUGGGCAGGAGGAAACUCAAACUCACGAGGGCUCUAAUGAGGAAGUGGAUUUGGAUGAAGAACAACAUAGGUACGAGGGGAUGCUGGAUGAAACUCGUGAGGGUUUCAUGAUUAAAAACGACAAAGUAAAACGGCAACGCAAACAUGUGAAUCCAAUCAAUCCCUAUGCUAAUGCAGAUUUGUUAGAGAAGCCCAGUGAGUAUGUCGUUGCCAAGAAGAGGGUCCAUGCCAGGGAGCCAUUGGUGAAUCCACUGAUGAAGGACAAGAAUACCGGUGGGGUUGGUGGAGAAGGGGCCAAACGCCGAAGGGGAAGGGCGCCACAGGCCAGAAACAGGUGUAUUCCAGGAAAAGCUGACAAGAAGGCUGGAUCCAAUCAUGUCGACAUGACUCGUGCUGAAAUUUCGAGCUAGCUGUUCUGUUGUUGUAUGCAUUGCACAAUCUAUUGCACGCUGGGUUGACAUUAACUAUGUUUUUUUCUCACAUUAAUCUAUGUUUUAGUUUUCGUUCAAGUUAAUUGUAUCGUGUAAGAUUGUUAUUUAAAUCACUUGAGUAGGAGUGACGAAUGUCAGAGUGAAUUAAUUUGUGUAUUA